CAAGAAUGCCAGGAUAGGUUGCUACUUAUAUCAGUAAGGUGCCCACAGAGGAGGAAGGUCCAAGUUUAUCUACUAGAUAGGUCACCAGAAGCUGAGCUAAGGUUGGGAAGAAAAGCAUCAUUUCUCCUACAUUCCCCUAUUUUUCCUCUUUAAAACAGGAUUCCCACUGGACUCAGGAACUCAAGCCAUGGCAACCCAGUAGGCAUGAUUCCAGGGUAGAUGUGCAGCCAGGCAGCCCAAGAGGAAAUCCUGAAGAAGCCAAAUUUCCCAGGACUAGAGUCCAAAAGAAUCUGAACUUUUAAGUAUGUUAGCUAUAAUUACAGUCACAAAAAGGAGCCAUUUCCUAUAGAGUGCAAAACCACUUCGAUCAACAUUCACAAACCCGAGCAA
rnacentral:lncRNA from 1 species